UGUCUCCCCCGAUCGCAUAGAAGCCCCGCCGGCUCCCCUGGCUCCUCCGCCCAAGACUGCCUCCGCCCCCGCCCCGACGGCCUCCUCUGCCGUCCUCCCCUGUCUCCUCCGCGCCCCCACUCCGUCAUCUGCUCCGCCACGGGAGAGCGGAGCGAUAUCUUCCGGCGCCCCUGGCUCCUCCGCCCCCGCCCCGACUGCCUCCUCCUCCCCCACUUGACGGCGUCUUCUACCCCGCGCCGCCGCCCUAUGCUAUUGAUGACCUGCGUGAUAACAAUUCUGUUCAUAGGAACAAUGCUGUGCAUUUCUAUGUGGAAUGUAUGCAAUCUGGACAACAAGGAACAAAAGAAGGCAUGGAGAAGUUCUAAUAAGCAUUGUGCAGGCCUGCAGGUGGGCGAAAGAAAUGUCGCUGGACCUGCUCCAGGCUUCUAAUUCUGAAGCCAAGGGGAAGGGCAAUAAGGCAGGCAUUGUCAAAAUAAAUGUUGAUGCCUCUUUCAAUUCUGAAGCUCAAGAUGGAGCCACGGGAGUGGUUAUUCGUCAUGACAAGGGCAAGGUUAUUGCAAUAAGGAACAAAUGGUAUAAUUCUCUUCCAAACGUCAUCACUACUGAAGCUCUGGCCUGCCGUGAUGGAGUGGAUUUGAUGCUUACUCUAAAUCUGGACAAGGUGAUCAUAGAGAAGGACAGCCAGGAGCUAGUUAAUUUAUGGUGUAGUAGGAGCAAGAACAGAUCCUGUAUUCUCCCUAUUCUGUAUCAUAUUCAGACUCUGUAAUGAGCGGGGUUUCUUUGUAAUCAAUUAUGUGAGAAGGGAGGCUAAUUUGGCUGCACAUUUCACAGCCAGAAACGCCUCACCCCUCAAACGCUCUGAACACUUGGAUGUAUGAGGUUCCUGUAUUCCUCUAUGCCUGUAUUCAGCAUGAUAAUCAUGUUGACAAUGAGUAAUACAAAGGCAGUUUUUCUUCUAAAAAAAGGAAAUCUGUUGGCUCAUAUUUAUGUACCUAACUUAAACAAAAAAAGAAAGCUAUAUAUCUGUCACCAAUACAGGUUACAUGUAAAUUUGUUUUGUUUCAACAAACCAUUGAAUCAAAUUAUCUACUGAAAGGAAAUGAUUACAAUA